rnacentral:rRNA from 1 species
GACGAACGCUGGCGGCGUGCCUAAUACAUGCAAGUAGAACGCACAGUUUAUACCGUAGCUUGCUACACCAUAGACUGUGAGUUGCGAACGGGUGAGUAACGCGUAGGUAACCUGCCUGGUAGCGGGGGAUAACUAUUGGAAACGAUAGCUAAUACCGCAUAAUAUUAAUUAUUGCAUGAUAAUUAAUUGAAAGGUGCAAUUGCACCACUACCAGAUGGACCUGCGUUGUAUUAGCUAGUAGGUGAGGUAACGGCUCACCUAGGCGACGAUACAUAGCCGACCUGAGAGGGUGAUCGGCCACACUGGGACUGAGACACGGCCCAGACUCCUACGGGAGGCAGCAGUAGGGAAUCUUCGGCAAUGGACGAAAGUCUGACCGAGCAACGCCGCGGGAGUGAAGAAGGUUUUCGGAUCGUAAAGCUCUGUUGUAAGAGAAGAACGGGUGUGAGAGUGGAAAGUUCACACUGCGACGGUAUCUUACCAGAAAGGGACGGCUAACUACGUG